UACGUAGGGUGCGAGCGUUACUCGGAAUUACUGGGCGUAAAGCGCACGUAGGCGGCUUCUUAAGUCGGUGGUGAAAUCCUGGAGCUCAACUCCAGAACUGCCUUCGAUACUGGGAAGCUCGAGUCCGGGAGAGGUGAGUGGAACUGCGAGUGUAGAGGUGAAAUUCGUAGAUAUUCGCAAGAACACCAGUGGCGAAGGCGGCUCACUGGCCCGGUACUGACGCUGAGGUGCGAAAGCGUGGGGAGCAAACAGG
rnacentral:rRNA from 1 species